rnacentral:rRNA from 1 species
AGGUUGAAGGUUGGGUAACACUAACUGGAGGACCGAACCGACUAAUGUUGAAAAAUUAGCGGAUGACUUGUGGCUGGGGGUGAAAGGCCAAUCAAACCGGGAGAUAGCUGGUUCUCCCCGAAAGCUAUUUAGGUAGCGCCUCGUGAAUUCAUCUCCGGGGGUAGAGCACUGUUUCGGCAAGGGGGUCAUCCCGACUUACCAACCCGAUGCAAACUGCGAAUACCGGAGAAUGUUAUCACGGGAGACACACGGCGGGUGCUAACGUCCGUCGUGAAGAGGGAAACAACCCAGACCGCCAGCUAAGGUCCCAAAGUCAUGGUUAAGUGGGAAACGAUGUGGGAAGGCCCAGACAGCCAGGAUGUUGGCUUAGAAGCAGCCAUCAUUUAAAGAAAGCGUAAUAGCUCACUGGUCGAGUCGGCCUGCGCGGAAGAUGUAACGGGGCUAAACCAUGCACCGAAGCUGCGGCAGCGACGCUUAUGCGUUGUUGGGUAGGGGAGCGUUCUGUAAGCCUGCGAAGGUGUGCUGUGAGGCAUGCUGGAGGUAUCAGAAGUGCGAAUGCUGACAUAAGUAACGAUAAAGCGGGUGAAAAGCCCGCUCGCCGGAAGACCAAGGGUUCCUGUCCAACGUUAAUCGGGGCAGGGUGAGUCGACCCCUAAGGCGAGGCCGAAAGGCGUAGUCGAUGGGAAACAGGUUAAUAUUCCUGUACUUGGUGUUACUGCGAAGGGGGGACGGAGAAGGCUAUGUUGGCCGGGCGACGGUUGUCCCGGUUUAAGCGUGUAGGCUGGU